ACUCAGGUCACAGGCUGGAAACAAAGCACCAGGUCACUUAAAUUCAGGCUCCUCCUCAGGCUUGAAGAGAUUUCAGGAGCGGUGACUCUCAUCUGCUCGAAGAUGAGCCCACUGUGGACCUUCCUCUUCGUGCUGUCAGCUCCCAGCGGGGUCCUGUCCCAGGUGCAGCUGCAGGAGUCGGGACCCAGCCUGGUGAAGCCCUCACAGACCCUCUCCCUCACCUGCGCUGUCUCUGGAUUCUCACUAACCAGCUAUGCUGUACACUGGGUCCGCCAGGCUCCAGGGAAGGCGCUGGAGUGGGUUGGUAUCAUAUAUAGUGGUGGAAGCACAUACUAUAACCCAGCCCUGAAAUCCCGGCUCAGCAUCACCAGGGACACCUCCAAGAGCCAAGUCUCUCUCUCACUGAGCACCGUGACACCUGAGGACACGGCCGUGUAUUACUGUGCAAGAUACACAGUGAGGGGAAGUCAGAGAGAGCCCAGACAGAAACCUCCCUGCAUGGGCGCCCAGGACCACCAGGGGGCGCUCAGGGCCACCUCGUUCAGGACUGCGCGCAGGAGCAGAGACACAUCCAAGAACCAGCUCUCCCUGCAGCUGAUGUCUGUAACCAGCGAGGACCCAGCCGUGUAUUACUGUGCAAGAGACAUCGCGGGGGGAGGAGCAGGUGCAGAUGGAGGUUAA